AUCCUACGGGAGGCAGCAGUAAGGGAUAUUGGUCAAUGGGGGAAGCCCUGAACCAGCAACGCCGCGUGAGGGAAGACGGUUUUCGGAUUGUAAACCUCUGUCCUCUGUGAAGAUGAUGACGGUAGCAGAGGAGGAAGCUCCGGCUAACUACGUGCCAGCAGCCGCGGUAAUACGUAGGGAGCGAGCGUUGUCCGGAUUUACUGGGUGUAAAGGGAGCGUAGACGGCAGGGCAAGCCAGAAGUGAAAACGCAGAGCUUAACUUUGCGACUGCUUUUGGAACUGCCCAGCUAGAGUACAGGAGAGGU
rnacentral:rRNA from 1 species